rnacentral:rRNA from 1 species
CACGCCCUAAACGAUGCGCACUAGAUUCGGGGUCCUCUGACGGAGUCCGGGUCGAUGUGAAAACGUUAAGUGCGCCGCCUGGGGAGUACGGCCGCAAGGUUAAAACUCAAAGGAAUUGACGGGGGCUCACACAAGCGGUGGAGCAUGUGGAUUAAUUCGAAGCAACGCGAAGAACCUUACCUGGGUUUGACAUGUACGGAUGGGGUCCGUGAAAGCGGGUGCCUCUGCUCUUCGGAGUGAAACGUGCACAGGUGC